GAGGGGCGGGACGCAGCAAAUUUAGCACGUGGAGGGAACGCUAAGGCCGGUUGCCUAGGUCACAGCGCAGCGUUGUCUCAGCCCCGAGGAAAGUGGGCGGGGCCGGGUCGCGGACACCCCGCCCCCGUCAAAGGCGUGGCCUGGGAUUGGCUCGCUGCGGCCGGGGGCACCUCAAAGGCCCGGACGCCUGAGCCCUGGCCGGGGUAAUCGCACUGGCUCGGCGUAGGGAGAGAUGCCUCUGAUCCCGGGGUCCCCUGCGACCACACAUUCCCCGAUUAUUCGUACAGGCUGCGGUGCGAGCCUGGAGGUCUGGACCCAGGUCGAGUAAAUUCGAGAAACUUCAGCCCUGGGCCCGCACUGGUCUAAGCCCCUGAUAGAAGAGACUGGACUCAACAGGCGAUCUGGGCGGCAGUUCCGGGCCACCUGCCCCUGCAGAUGCUUAGCGUGUGACCCCUGGGGUAGCCCACCUCCUUCUCUGACCACUACCUUACACUCUGCCUGGAUCCAUGUAAUUGAAGGAAGCACACUAGUUCCCUUGCUCACCUGCUCACUUGCUCCAGCUGCCACUUCAUUUCUUGGAUACUAUGCAUGGAAUUGGGAUAAAGAAUGGAAGGACAGACAGGGAAGAACAGAGGUGAG
rnacentral:lncRNA from 1 species